UACGAAGGGGGCUAGCGUUGUUCGGAAUUACUGGGCGUAAAGGGCGCGUAGGCGGUACUUCAAGUCAGGCGUGAAAGCCCCGGGCUCAACCUGGGAACCGCGCUUGAGACUGGAGAACUAGAGUUCGGGAGAGGAUGGUGGAAUUCCCAGUGUAGAGGUGAAAUUCGUAGAUAUUGGGAAGAACACCGAUGGCGAAGGCAGCCAUCUGGACCGACACUGACGCUGAGGCGCGAAAGCUAGGGGAGCGAACGGG
rnacentral:rRNA from 1 species